GUUUUAAAGCCAGUCUUCUCAGGGCUUACCUUUGGGGUAUGAUCAGAAGAGUAUUUUCUGUGAACACACAGUUUCUCAGAAGCUGUGCUUGAGGUCAUUUCUGAGACUUGAGCAGACAGUUGAGUGUACCAAGUCAGAGCUGCUCAGACAGCUGGACCCUAAGGGCACCAUGCUGCUGGAAUUCCUCCAGGAACCAUUCUCUGCUGGGGGACUCUUAUCACAUUCCUGCCCUCAAUGAGCUUCCCCUGUAAGAAGGCAAGUCUGAGGCAGCUGGGAUAUGCAGCAUUUUGAGGGAAUAAUGGGGUGCUGGGUUGGGUUUAUGCCGCUCAGAGGAGAUAGUGUUUCCGAGGAGACUUGGCAUAGCAGGGGUUCCUGUGAGAAUCACCUGGAAGAGGAGAAAGAAGCCAUGUGGUGACCCCAGAGACAGAGAUCUUGGCCAGCCCAUGCUUCAUGGCCAGCAGUGCUGGAGCCCUGUGAGUGGCAGGCGUGCUGACUUGUGUGAGAGUGUGGGGCAGAACGUGGAUACCUGUGGAAGGCUGGUGGACUUCUGAGUGGAGAGGAACUGAGGGCCAAUAGCAGUGGCACAAGGAGUACCCAUUUGGAACUGAUGACUUAGCGUUGGCAGAGGAGAGGAUGGAGUUUAGAGAUAGACAGUGGGUCUGGGGUCUGCCAAGUUUGCAGAUGAGGUGGAGAUAGGUUUGCAGAGGAGGUGUGUGGUGAUGGGAAAACGCUGGGGGUCAGGGAAGUCCAUGCUUUUCAGGGGAGCAAGAGGAGAGGAGGGUGAAUAUACAUCCUAAAUUGGGAGAUUCAACUUCUGAGAGAUCUAAGAAGGAUUGUGAAAGCACCAGAGGACCUUCUAGAAAGGGCCAGUGCAAUACAUGUGACCUUAUCAACCAAAGAUGGGGUGGAGGCCACCCUAGAAGGAGGAGGAGAAAGACAGAAAGGCUUUGUUGGGUGCCCUAUCCAGAUCCAUUUGUUGUCACUGAGGGUGGGGUAUGGGGUGGUGAGGAGACUCCAGAGAAGGGAGUGUGAUACCCUGGAACUCAGGAAUAAAAGUGCGGACCUAUCAUCUCAUUACUCAGGAGGCUGAUGCAGAAGGCAAGCCUGGACCAUCUGAAAAGACCCUGUCUUCAAAAAGAAGAGAGGAGGGAAGGAUGGCAGGGUGGGUGUCCUGUGUUGCUGAGGGAAAUGUCUGUCUGAUUUGCAACAUGAACACCAUUGAAGAGUUGGAAUAGAGGAAUAUUGUGGUGGUGAGAGCAGAAGCAAGAUUGGAAGCAAUUUUUUUUUUUUAACAAAAAUUCAAAACAGUUGUUAGCAAGCAGAAUUCCACAGGAUAUGAAAACAUGAUGAGAUCAAGUUGGGUCUCUGCCCCAGAAUGCAAGACGGGCAUCUUCACACCGGUGCUUCCCAUGCAGAAGUGGUGAUGUCUCAGCCUCUGAUGUCGUAAGUUUGUUCUCAAGAAAGGAGAGCUGUCAGAACUUGAUCCUGAGAGAGUGUGUGUCCUUGAAGGCAGCACAGUGGGGCGAGGCUACCUCCUUCCUUUGGGUGGGGUAUCUGCCAGGUAUAGAAGAGGUGUAUAUGAGGAGGAGGGGUGGAGGUGUGAAUGGUUCAGCCUACUCAUGGUUUAUUAGUCUGUCAAUUCUAAUUGGAACAGUUAAGCUCUCUGGUUGGUUGCAGGCCUAAAGAUUAGUUAUUGUUAUAGUUUAUAGAGCUUUUUCCUGCUCAUAGAUUCAUUUCAUUUUAUAAAGAAAGAAAAAAUAAAACAACCAAACCCUGGAGCUGGAGACACUUUAUCCAUAAAAACAAUAUGGUAGACUCUUAUGUGAGGUAUUGCUUGUCCAAUUCUGUAUUGCCUUAGGGCCUGCCUCAUGUAGGAGAUGCUUGGGUGACCCCCUCAUUCAUAGAAUCUGAGAGGCAAACGGCACUGUUGUGUGCCUCUGUUGAUGAGUCAGUUUGGCUUAAGUUUAGGACUAAGCCAUUUCCCGGAAGAGUGAGCUCCACACAGGAGCCUGGGUUAAUGGUGUGCUCUUUGCUGCCAACUUCCCAGCAGAAAUGACAGAUUACCUAAGCCAAUUUGUUUGUCACAUUUGUUUGAGAAUACACAGUGAUAGAGGUGUUUCUGUGUGAGCUUCUGCUCUAGACCAGGGAACUCCCAGGUUUGUAUAUGGCUGGAGCAGGAGUACACCAAACACAUUGCUUCUUGACUCUGCAUCAGACUUGACAGUAGUAAUUGACCUUCGUUGUUCGGAUUCUCCUGUAUGUACAAGCUGGGCCUACCACUGUUCCUUUCAACCAAUGGAGAUAUGUGGGUGGCUGCACUCUCCCUGAGGCUGGAGUGUGUCUGGAUGGUUGCACUCCCCUAAGGUUGAAGUAUGUCUGACGAUGCCAUUAAUACUUCAUUUCUAGUCAGUGUGGCUGCUACGGCCUGGCAAGCAGGUCCACAUGUCCAGGCUAGCUUCUCCUCUGCUCACUCCCUGUCACAUACUAACAUAGCUGGAAGUCUGAACCCAGUGUCCAAAGUGCUCUUCAUAACACUAUCUAGUUCCUCUUCACCUGAGGCAGGUAGAGAGGCAUCCUACACAGAGCUGUGUGUCUUGUGGCUCUGGAGCAAGUGUUAGGUUCAUGCUGGGUCCAGCCCUGCAAUUUUCUCUUCUGGCCCAUAGAGGAG